rnacentral:rRNA from 1 species
AUGCUCACCUUCGCCUCCGGCAACACCCUUGAUGUGCCCUUCGUCGACCCCUCCCUCAUCCGCAACGAGCAGCGCAGCUCCGAGGGCAACCUCUGGUUGCUGCCCACGCCCAAGGUGUUUGGCAACACCACGCUCGUCGUCUCCCAGCGCCACAACCGGACCUACUCCGCCAAGAACGUCACGCAGUUCCUCAACGACAUCGGGUUCGCCGACGGGGUGGAGCCGUACCGGGCGCGGAUACGGCCGCUCGGCGAGGUCCUGCCGGAGUCGGGCGUGCCGGUGACAUGCCUCGUGGGCACCGGCGUUGACACGGUGGAGAGCCUCAUGUUCGGGGACGAGGGGUUCGACGCAGGGCCCGUCAAUGUGGUGUACGGCGACGACGACGGGACGGUGAACCUCACUAGCCUCAUGGGACCGAUCAAGGCCUGGUCCGACUCGCCGGCGCAGGUCCUCGAGGUGGUGGAGCUGCCCAAGGUGUCGCACAUGGGCAUCCUCAAGGACAAGAGCGCCGUCGACCAGAUCCUCAGGAUUCUUGAUUCCAUCAACCUAAACGCCACGACCACUACCUAUCAUCAGUCUUAUAAAUAG